CUGGAUUUGGCAGCAGAUAUACUAAAAUCAACAAUAUAGAGAAGAUUAGCAUUUCUCCUGCAUAAGGAUGAUGCACAAAUCCCUGAGUGGUUCCAUAUUAAA